UACGGGGGGGGCAAGCGUUGUUCGGAAUUACUGGGCGUAAAGGGCUCGUAGGCGGCCAACUAAGUCAGACGUGAAAUCCCCAGGCUCAACCUGGGAACUGCGUCUGAUACUGGAUGGCUUGAAUCCGGGAGAGGGAUGCAGAAUUCCAGGUGUAGCGGUGAAAUGCGUAGAUAUUGGGAAGAACACCGGUGGCGAAGGCGGCGACCUGGUCCGUGACUGACGCUGAGGCGCGAAAGCGUGGGGAGCAAACAGG
rnacentral:rRNA from 1 species